AUCGCUUCUCGGCCUUUUGGCUAAGAUCAAGUGUAGUAUCUGUUCUUAUCAGUUUAGAUGACUACUGCUCAGUUUAUCAACUGUGCAAUUUAUUUUUAUAGGGACUUAAGAAGUUACAAUGAGGCAUAAAUAUAAUAAAAUGGCAAAACUGACAGAUGGAUAAUAUAACUUAUUUUGCCACCUUGA